rnacentral:rRNA from 1 species
AUUGAACGCUGGCGGCAUGCUUUACACAUGCGAGUCGAACGGUAACAGGCCUUCGGGUGCUGACGAGUGGCGAACGGGUGAGUAAUGCAUCGGAGCGUACCCAGAGGUGGGGGAUAACGCAGCGAAAGCUGUGCUAAUACCGCAUGUGAUCUGAGGAUGAAAGCGGGGGACCGAGCAGCAAUGUUUGGCCUCGCGCCUUUGGAGCGGCCGAUGUCGGAUUAGCUAGUUGGUGGGGUAAAGGCCUACCAAGGCGACGAUCCGUAGCUGGUCUGAGAGGACGACCAGCCACACUGGGACUGGGACACGGCCCAGACUCCUACGGGAGGCAGCAGUGGGGAAUUUUGGACAAUGGGCGCAAGCCUGAUCCAGCAAUGCCGCGUGCGGGAAGAAGGCCUUCGGGUUGUAAACCGCUUUUGGCAGGAACGAAACGGUGUCCGCUAAUACCGGGCGCUAAUGACGGUACCUGCAGAAUAAGCACCGGCUAACUACGUG